AGAUCUGCUGGAGCUCUUGGUUCUCGCCUUACCGGAGCAGGCUGGGGUGGUUGUACCGUUUCCAUGGUACCAAGUAGUCUACUUCAUGAUUUCUUACAUAAAGUACAGUUUGAAUAUUACAGUAAAGAUCCAGCCAAACUGGCAGUGAUUAAUCAUAGUUUGUUUGCAACGUCCCCUGGUGGUGGAGCCGCCAUUAUCACUUCGGAAGCCAUUAAAGACUGCAGUAAUUUAUAAUUGAAGUUUAUAAUGAAUAUUUAUAUAAAGAAUGAUUUCCUCGAGAUUCAAUACGAGUUCAGAACCAUUUUAAAGUUGAAACAUCUGAAUUGAUAUUUUGUUUUCUAUCCAAAAUUUGUAAACAUACGUGAAUAAACCGUACGUGUACGUGAAUAAUAGACGUGCACAAUUUCCGUCUUGUAUUGAUUGAAUUUCAUUAAAGUGCGACUAACCCUAAAUAUGAUUUUUUGUAUGUGUAAUAUUUGGGUCAUUCGAAGAAGAAAUGUAAUAUAUCUUUAUAAUAAAAAAUCUUAUCUUGAUCAACUUUUUCACUGUCAAAGUUUGCGGGUAUGAUGUCAUUAGGUGAAAAUUUUGCAAAUUAGUUUUCCUUUGUUUUUUGUACCAAAAAUUCACCUAAUGACAUCAUAUCCGGAAACUUUGACAGUGAAAAAGUUGACCAAGAUGAGGUUUUUACUAUAAAGAUAUAUUACAUUUCUUCUUAGAAUAACCCAAGUAUUACCCAUACCAAAAAUCAUACUUGGGGUUAGGCACACUUUAAAAAUAUUACGUUACAAUGAUGCAUUCAGUGAUGACAAAAUGGAAUUAAAUAGCACUCCGACACGUACGCCCGUAUUCUAAAAGCUCACUCACACUCAAUGAGUGGAGGUUCAAUCUGAGCUUCUCUCGAGUGUCAGUGCUGUUUUUGAAUAGCUGAAGGGUUAGUGUCGUACCUUAAUAUGUGACUACUCACCCUCCAGCUAUUCAAAAAUAACAUUGACACUCAAGAAAAGCUCAGAUUGAACCUCCACUCAUUGAAUGUGAGUGUGAGUGAGCUUUUAGAAUACGGGCGGUAAUUAAACCCAGUGAGCUCCAUAUAUAUCUGGAGCGAGAACUCGAGUCUAAAAAGCGGCGAAAAUUGAUGAGCUAUUAACGUCAGUUCCAGUCCCUUUCUAUUGUUUUUGUCUGCGCGGUUAACACGAAGCUGGCGAGGAGUGUGCCAAAAUUUGGUAUUUUGACGUUUUAAAGAAUAUUAUUAUUUAGCUGGGGAAAAGUGGUAUUAAAACUGUUUACGACCUUCGUAGCUAUUGGACGUCAAUUUCUGCCAUCUUGGCAUCACGUUUCUCAUAGACUGAAUGAAUAAAGUUCCUGCUCCAGAUAUAUAGAGCUCACUGGUGAAACCUUAUGCACUUCAUAUAUAUUUCUAUUCAGAGAUCAUAACUCUUCUAUACAAUCAGCUUAUGAUAUUUUAGUUUUGCUGUUCAACGACAAUUGGCAAUGUCAAUGACUGCAAAUUUGUUCAUCAUGCAAUUUGGUCUUAUUCGGCAGAUAUUUUAAACUGAACAGACGUCAUAUAACUGGCUUCUGACUUUUCUGAAAGCUUAAAAAUUUUUUAUUUUCUUUAUCUCUGAUUCUGUGAUAAAACGUAAAUUGAUAGGGGGCUUAGGGGACAGGAUUAAAAACUAUGUUUGUGUCAGUUUGUAGUAAUCUUCAACACAUACAUAGUACAUAUGACAUAACAUAAGAUUUUAAGUAAAGUCGGGUGACAAAGGUUGCCAAAGACGCUGCUUGCAUAAGUUAAGCUGACCAAUUAGUUGACAAACGUAUUUCCCAG